CUGGCCGUGAAGGAGAGAGGCAACAGUGAGGUACCAAGCAGUGUAAGUGGUCAUGAGGAGGCCAAGAAAGGACCAGAUUCUGUAGUUGUGGAAGGAAGGGAUAAAUACAGUGGUGGCACAGCAUGCUCCAAAGAUGCAAGGUUGUUGAGAAAAUCCGCUAAUUAUGACUUUGAAGGUCCUAAAAGCAUACUCGGGAAGUCUGUUAAAAUGGCCAUAUAUAUCCCAGUGCAUUUUUAGUCAUGCUUUGCAGGCUCUGGGACUAGAAAUAUUCUCUGUGACUUGUGUCUCCUUGAUCACCUCCAGUUUGUUACAAACCUUAUACUACUUAGUUAAAAAAAAUUCCUAGCAUAAUAAGCACCUUGCCUCUCAUUGAUUAUUGUCAGCUCUUAAUGGUAUUAUUAGUGUUCCGAUAUAUAGAAUUAUCUUUGUUAUGGAUCAAUUAAAUUUUUACCGUAGUUCAUUGUCGGGCGAAGUGGUGGUUAACGUGGGUGUCUGCAUAAUUAGUGUAUUCAGUCUGUUCUGCACGUUCUGAAGCAAUUUCGAAGCAAAAUGAUGGUUAAUGUAAAUUCCAUGUCGUGAUUCAAUUAUGGGUCUUUCCCAGUUGAUUACUAAGAAUAGAUCUACAUCAUAUUUGCGACAGAGCCAAUAAAAAGAAGACUAAACUA